CCUACGGGUGGCAGCAGUGGGGAAUAUUGGACAAUGGGGGCAACCCUGAUCCAGCCAUGCCGCGUGUGUGAAGAAGGCCCUCGGGUUGUAAAGCACUUUCAGUGAGGAAGAACGCCUGGUGGUUAAUACCCAUCAGGAAAGACAUCACUCACAGAAGAAGCACCGGCUAACUCCGUGCCCGCAGCCGCGGUAAUACGGAGGGUGCGAGCGUUAAUCGGAAUUACUGGGCGUAAAGCGCGCGUAGGUGGCUUGAUAAGCCGGUUGUGAAAGCCCCGGGCUCAACCUGGGAACGGCAUCCGGAACUGUCAAGCUAGAGUGCAGGAGAGGAAGGUAGAAUUCCCGGUGUAGCGGUGAAAUGCGUAGAGAUCGGGAGGAAUACCAGUGGCGAAGGCGGCCUUCUGGACUGACACUGACACUGAGGUGCGAAAGCGUGGGUAGCAAACAGGAUUAGAUACCCCUGUAGUC
rnacentral:rRNA from 1 species